CGGACUGACCACCUCAGCGGGCUUGAGCUGUCCUGCCUCGUCCACCUCUGAGAGCUUCAGGCUCUCAAAAGUAAACACUUUGAAGGCUCGUUCUACUUCAUUCCAGCUCAGCACUUCUGCAAGAGAGCAGGCCCCCUGCCUUGAGGAAGGCUCUUAUUAGUACAAGAUACAGGGCUGACCCAAGGGCAGCUGAAGAGUGCCAAUGGUUCAUGCCAUGAUGGGUGCUGACCUCACUUAAAAUACAGACUUCAAAAGUCUUCAUCAAAUAUCAAAGGGCCCAAAUACUAAGAAAAUCACAGUUCAGAUGUAACAGAUCUGAGGGAUACAUCCAAACAACUUCAUGGCUUGAUCAGUGUUUGGUACCCAUGCUCACUUGCCUGAACUUUCCACAGUACUGUAUUGAUUUAAAUACCAUAUAUUUAAGGUUUUGUUUUGGCACAGAUGGCUUUUGAAAUUUGUCAUUUAUGUCUAUGACACUUAGAAGAUUUCUCUGUAAAUUCAGGUUCAGAAAAAGCCUCCUUUGAGAACUGCUACUUUCCAUAUUUGUGCUUCAAAGUUUAUCAGAGCUCGGUUGUCUCUAUUCAACUGCAUCCGUCAAACAGUCACUAAGGAGCUUUUGAGCAAAGAAGGCACACGGCCUGAUGGACAUCCUCUGAAAGGUGUUCUGGUUGUUGCACGGAUAAAAGACUCCUAGUGAAAAGGGAUGAUUCAAGGAAGUGCUCACAAUCCACCAAGUGGAUACCACAUUCAAAUUCAGACGACCCAGAUCUUCCGUUUCUUCUCUUUGACCCGCAAAGAAUUGUGGAGUGACUCAGGUAAAGAGAUAGAAGAAAACAAUCUGCCACCUAUCAGUCCUCAGUGAAGAAUGGACAAGAGGCAUGGUUAUUGUGAAAAAAAAAAAAACCUGCUUUGUAAAGAAGGGUGAGCAGCAUCCUGGAUUCCCGGGAAAGCACCCGAAAGGAACUGGGAGGCAAAGACAUGCAGAGAGAGUUUAACAUGGAACUUGUAUACGAGACACCAACAAGAGUGGCUUGUAUUUAAAUCUGCCUCUCAUGGUCUCUUCUGUUCUCUUCGACCCUCACUAUGUUGCAACCUGGGGAAGAGCCCCAGGCUAACCACUUGACCAAAUUAACAGAUGAUGACGGUCCAGACUUCAACAUCCUCGGUCACAUGAAGAGUGGAAACACAGCUGCCCACUUAGGCAGUGGGGAUGGUGUGAGGCAGAGUUGUUUCUCAUGAUGAGGUGCAGUUAUAAGGUUCCUGGGGACUUCCUAAUAUACUACCCAGAAUCAUUCGGUGGCUGUAUUUUACACUGGAAUAUAAUGCAUUUUAUUAUCAGCACAGAUAGACUGACAAGUACAAAUGUGUCCAAUGUAUUGAUUCAGGCUGGAUAGAAGAAGGAUAUUUCUUGGUGGUGGUGGCUCACACCUGCAGAGGUAGGCGGAUUUCUGUGAGUUCAAGGCCAGCUUGGUCUACAGAUCAAGUUCCAGGACAGCUGGGGCUACAUAAAGAAACCCUGUCUUGAAACAAACACACACACAAAACAACAACAACAAAAAUAAAAGCAAAAAACCCCAAAAACUAAAAACCAAAACCAAAAACAGAAGAAGAGGAGGAGGAGGAGGCAGAGGAGGAGGAAGACUUCAAGUUUCCAUUGAGCAUAAUUCUAGAAUUCUAAAAUGACUCAUGCUGCUUGAAACUAGAGUAUGAGACUCCAGACUGACAGUGCUCAGUUAGGGCAAAGUCGUCUGCUCAGACUUUCUCUUCCCAUUCCUCAGGGAAUGCCACUGUGCUGUGUGGUUUGUGUGGUUUUCUACAAUCAUAAAGGGGUUCAUUCCGUGA